UACGGAGGGUGCAAGCGUUAUCCGGAUUCACUGGGUUUAAAGGGUGCGUAGGCGGGCAUGUAAGUCCGUGGUGAAAUCUCCGAGCUUAACUCGGAAACUGCCAUGGAUACUAUGUGUCUUGAAUGUUGUGGAGGUGAGCGGAAUAUGUCAUGUAGCGGCGAAAUGCUUAGAUAUGACAUAGAACACCAAUUGCGAAGGCAGCUCACUACACAAAUAUUGACGCUGAGGCACGAAAGCGUGGGGAGCAAACAGG
rnacentral:rRNA from 1 species